GUCCUUGAGUAAGACACUUAACUCCAGGUUGCUCCGGGGGGAUUGUCCCUGUAAUAAGUGCUCUGUAUAAUACAUUGGUAAUCAGAAGGUUGCUGGUUUGAUCCCCACAGUCACCACCAUUGUGUCCUUGAGUAAGGCACUUAACUCCAGGUUGUUCCGGGGGGAUUGUCCCUGUAAUAAGUGCUCUGUAUAAUACAUUGGUACUCAGAAGGUUGCUGGUUUGAUCCCCACAGUCACCACCAUUGUGUCCUUGAGUAAGACACUUAACUCCAGGUUGCUCUGGGGGGAUUGUCCCUGUAAUAAGUGCUCUGUAUAAUACAUUGGUACUCAGAAGGUUGCUGGUUUGAUCCCCACAGUCACCACCAUUGUGUCCUUGAGUAAGACACUUAACUCCAGGUUGCUCCAGGGGGGAUUGUCCCUGUAAUAAGUGCUCUGUAUAAUACAUUGGUACUCAGAAGGUUGCUGGUUUGAUCCCCACAGUCACCACCAUUGUGUCCUUGAGUAAGACACUUAACUCCAGGUUGCUCCGGGGGGAUUGUCCCUGUAAUAAGGGCACUAUAAGUCACCAUUAUAACCAAAUAACAGGUGAGACCAGGGAUGUACAACAUUCAGAACUGAACUAGGAAUUAAAUUCAUGAAGUUGAAUUGAGGUGGUCAAAUAGGAUGCUAAAUUCUAAUCUGAAUAUUCCAGGUUCAAUACAAGCUCAUUUGUGACAAUGUUGAUUAACACAAAAGCUAUUUUAAAUUUGCCCCACAUUUAUUUUAAAAUCACUGUUACAGAGAGAUACUUACAAUGGAAGUGAAUGGGGGCCAAUCCAAAAACAUUAUACUCACUGAUUAGUCACAAGAUCAGGGAUGGAUUACCGACCAGCCAAUGGGGCCAGUGCCCAGGGAACUUGACUACCAACCGGGGUGCCCUGGGAUUUAAGGCAGAGCGAUCUAGUUUGGUGAUCCCCAAUUGAAAAGCCUUUUGGGAAUGAACGCUGACCCCCGGCUCAACCACUUUUGGGUUGAGGGAGGCCCUUGGAGAUAAUUGGUCCCCAGGCCUUUGCAAUCAUAAUCCGUCUCUGCACAGGAUGUACA